UGGAGUGAACUGGGAGCACAGUGCCCUCUUGUGGUAGAUCUGUCGCUUUGCAAAGAAUGGUAAAUUUCUCUAGAAGGAACCCAAGGCAAGAAUUUAAGACGGAUGUGAAUAUUGUCAAAAGCCACCUCGCACCACCUGCAGCCGUUCUUCCAUGCUGUGGCCCAAACUCUUGCUUUCUGGGAAGCAGAACUUGGAUUUGAAGGGUGGCAGAGAGACACGAGAGACCUGGAGAGAAGGGCCACCCGGGGCGCAGGUGCAUUUGGUCAGCAGAAAGGCAGGACCGGAGAUCUGCACGGGACACGGGAGAGAGGCUGAACUGUAGGAAAGAGUAGCUAACCAUGUCAGGAGCACGUUUCUCAAAUUGGCCACGACGAACCCCCGGAGUGAUCAUGAUGGAGAAAAGACCACAAUUAGAAGACAGUGAGAGGAGCUUCAAAGGACUCCAUUGGCUUCCUCUAGCUCUGUAAAAAGUCCAAGAGAUAGGUUUCCCGAGCCAUCUGGAGCUCCUUUUCGGCAGGGUUGAGUCUAGUCUAUACUCCGCAGGAGGAAGUCGCUUGCGUAGUUGGAGACGUCUCCUGUGCAUUGGAGCCAGUGGCUUGAUGUCAACCUUGCUGGAGAACAAACCUAGUUUUACACCAACCUGUUGAAAAGAAGUCUUCCCACUGCUUAGGCAGACUUUGACAGGGAUGGACGCCUAGAGCUCAAAUAACUGUAGGGCCCUGAAGACAUGUUCUCAGCGAAUUUCUAAGAAGAAAUAUGAACAGAAGAGAAUAUAGAUGAAGAGGUUUUGAAACUUAUUCCCACAUGAUAUAGGAAAAAGAAAAGACAAUGCUAA
rnacentral:lncRNA from 1 species